rnacentral:rRNA from 1 species
AGUACCGUGAGGGAAAGGCGAAAAGAACCCCGGAAGGGNAGUGAANUGGGNUCCUGAAACCGUGUGCAUACAAACAGUAGGAGCCUCGCAAGGGGUGACUGUGUACCUUUUGUAUAAUGGGUCAGCGACUUACGUUCAGUGGCAAGCUUAACCGAAUAGGGAAGGCGUAGCGAAAGCGAGUCCGAAUAGGGGCGUUAGUUGCUGGGUGUAGACCCGAAACCAGUUGAUCUAUCCAUGGCCAGGUUGAAAGGUGCCGUAACAGGUACUGGAGGUCCGAACCGACUAGUGUUGCAAAACUAGCGGAUGAGCUGUGGAUAGGGGUGAAAGGCUAAACAAACUUGGAAAUAGCUGGUUCUCUCCGAAAACUAUUUAGGUAGUGCCUCAAGUAUUACCGUCGGGGGUAGAGCACUGUUUUGGCUAGGGGGUCAUGGCGACUUACCAAACCAAGGCAAACUCCGAAUACCGACGAGUACAGCUUGGGAGACAGAGCACCGGGUGCUAACGUCCGGACUCAAGAGGGAAACAACCCAGACCGCCAGCUAAGGUCCCUAAGUCAUCACUAAGUGGGAAAGCAUGUGGGAAUCCCAAAACAACCAGGAGGUUGGCUUAGAAGCAGCCAU